GAUGCCCGUGUAAGGUCAGUGAACGAUGCCCGUGUAAGGUCAGUGAAUGAUGCCCAUAUAAGGUCAGUGAAUGAUGCCCAUAUAAGGUCAGUGAACGAUGCCCGUAUAAGGUCUGUGAACGAUGCCCAUAUAAGGUCUGUGAACGAUGCCCGUGUAAGGUCUGUGAACGAUGCCCGUGUAAGGUCAGUGAACGAUGCCCAUGUAAGGUCAGUGAACGAUGCCCGUGUAAGGUCAGUGAAUGAUGCCCAUAUAAGGUCUGUGAACGAUGCCCGUGUAAGGUCAGUGAACGAUGCCCAUAUAAGGUCUGUGAACGAUGCCCGUGUAAGGUCAGUGAAUGAUGCCCAUAUAAGGUCUGUGAACGAUGCCCGUGUAAGGUCAGUGAAUGAUGCCCAUAUAAGGUCUGUGAACGAUGCCCGUGUAAGGUCAGUGAAUGAUGCCCAUAUAAGGUCUGUGAACGAUGCCCGUGUAAGGUCAGUGAACGAUGCCCAUAUAAGGUCUGUGAACGAUGCCCGUGUAAGGUCAGUGAACGAUGCCCAUAUAAGGUCUGUGAACGAUGCCCGUGUAAGGUCAGUGAACGAUGCCCAUAUAAGGUCUGUGAACGAUGCCCGUGUAAGGUCAGUGAACGAUGCCCAUGUAAGGUCAGUGAACGAUGCCCGUGUAAGGUCAGUGAAUGAUGCCCAUUUCAGGUCAGUGAAUGAUGCCCAUGUAAGGUCAGUGAAUGAUGCCCAUAUAAGGUCAGUGAACGCUGUCCAUGUAAGGCCUGUGAACGAUGUCCAUAGAAGGUCAGUGAACGGUAAGGUCAGUGAACGAUGCCCAUAUAAGCUCUGUGAACGAUGCCCAUAUAAGCUCUGUGAACGAUGCCCAUCUAAGGUCUGAAUGAGGACACCUGAGC